CUAGCUGAGAAGAUAAGUGGUGUGCACCUACACAACCUCAAGGACUUGUACAUCUUCGGACUAAAGAAACGUACAGGGGCGUUGCACAAGAUCCCGGGCCCUAUGCCUAGACAGUCCUGAUGGGCCCCCCAUCCCCCCCCCCCCCCCAUGAAAAUAUCCAGGCUCAACCCAACUGCUUUUGACUGGACUAGUCACCGAGUGUAUGACCGAGAUGAAAUUGUGUGAACACGAACAGCAAAGCCUGUAUUUACACCCGACCAAACACGUUCAAAUCCUGUUUCAUAUCCCACCAGCCACCGACUCGUUCUCUCACCUCCAAAAGGGCAGCGUGUGGAUGGUGUUUAGGCUUAAAAUCACAGCCAGAGCCUUUUAGAUGCCACAUGUCACUCUGUCAGCAUAUCCCAUGAUUCAUUACUCACAGGAAAUGAGGCCUGUGUUCUUUCUGUGGUGUGAUCAGCAGGAUGAUGGGCUCGGCGUGUGGGGUUGUCACACAAUCAAAUACACUUCAUGAACUAUAAGAGAAAAAGUCAGUCGGUUCAUUGAGGUCGUGCUGAGAUUGAAGCGUAAAGCACUGAAGCUUUUCAUAAUGCUACUGAAUAAAUCACCUUAUGUGUACUUUCUAAAAAAAUGGAGAUGUCAGAGAAGAGAUCGACUGCAGAAAAUCCCAUUUGUCGAUGCAGAUGAAAGAUACCUAUAAACGUUGUUACAAAAGCUAGUGAGCUUCCUGCGUAGGGUGCGUUUAAGGCAUUUUGAUGUGACGGCUGUUCAAAGGAGCUGUCUUCAAAGAUGUUUUGUUUUUGCCAAAUUUUGAAACAGCAUUGUAUGUAUUGUAUCCCAAACUUGUGAGUUUUUUCAUCCAAAAUUGUGGACAAGGUAGGAGGUUAUAAAACGUGUUAUACUUGUAACAAUGUGUUAUAACUGUAAUAUAAUUUAUAAUUUUUAUCCUUUUUAGAGUAUUAUGGAAUAUAUGUGUGGAUAUUAACUCUGUGAGCUUCUC
ensembl:lncRNA